GGAUGGGCGAACAGAAGUCAGCCGAGGCCGUAGUAGUUGCUCGAAGCCGGAGUGACGAAGGGC
rnacentral:misc_RNA from 1 species